AAGAAAUUAGUUAAUUUAUAAUAUUAGCUUGUCAUGCUAAAGUAAUCUUUAAGAUAUUUCUUA
rnacentral:tRNA from 1 species